UCAGCCGCCGCGGUAAUACCAGCUCCUCGAGUGGUCGGGGCGAUUAUUGGGCCUAAAGCAUCCGUAGCCGGUUCGGUAGGUCCCCUGCUAAAUCCAAUCGCUCAACGAUUGGCCCGCAGGGGAUACCGCCGGACUAGGAGGCGGGAGAGGAGGACGGUACUCCGCGGGUAGGGGUAAAAUCCUUUGAUCCGCGGAAGACCACCAGUGGCGAAGGCGGUCCUCCAGAACGCGCUCGACGGUGAGGGAUGAAAGCUGGGGGAGCGAACCGGAUUAGAUACCCGGGUAGUCCCAGCCGUAAACGAUGCGAGCUAGAUGAUUCAGUCGCAAAUCGCGCCUGAAGUGUCGCAGGGAAGCCGUUAAGCUCGCCGCCUGGGGAGUACGGUCGC
rnacentral:rRNA from 1 species